rnacentral:rRNA from 1 species
ACUCCUACGGGGAGGCAGCAGUGGGGAAUAUUGCACAAUUGGGNGAAGCCUGAUGCAGCCAUGCCGCGUGUGUGAAGAAGGCCUUCGGGUUGUAAAGCACUUUCAGUUGUGAGGAAGGUGGUGUCGUUAAUAGCGGCAUCAUUUGACGUUAGCAACAGAAGAAGCACCGGCUAACUCCGUGCCAGCAGCCGCGGUAAUACGGAGGGUGCGAGCGUUAAUCGGAAUUACUGGGCGUAAAGCGCAUGCAGGUGGUUUGUUAAGUCAGAUGUGAAAGCCCGGGGCUCAACCUCGGAACUGCAUUUGAAACUGGCAGACUAGAGUACUGUAGAGGGGGGUAGAAUUUCAGGUGUAGCGGUGAAAUGCGUAGAGAUCUGAAGGAAUACCGGUGGCGAAGGCGGCCCCCUGGACAGAUACUGACACUCAGAUGCGAAAGCGUGGGGAGCAAACAGGAUUAGAUACCCUGGUAG